rnacentral:rRNA from 1 species
GCAUAUCAAUAAGCGGAGGAAAAGAAACCAACAGGGAUUGCCUCAGUAACGGCGAGUGAAGCGGCAACAGCUCAAAUUUGAAAUCUGGCCUCACGGCCCGAGUUGUAAUUUGUAGAGGAUGCUUCGAGCAUGGUCUGGCCUAAGUUCCUUGGAACAGGACGUCAUAGAGGGUGAGAAUCCCGUAUGCGGCCAGGUGCCUACGCUCAUGUGAAGCUCCUUCGACGAGUCGAGUUGUUUGGGAAUGCAGCUCAAAAUGGGUGGUAAAUUUCAUCUAAAGCUAAAUAUUGGCCAGAGACCGAUAGCGCACAAGUAGAGUGAUCGAAAGAUGAAAAGCACUUUGGAAAGAGAGUUAAACAGUACGUGAAAUUGUUGAAAGGGAAGCGCUUGCAACCAGACUUGCGUGCGGCCGAUCAUCCGGUGUUCUCACCGGUGCACUCGGUCGCGCUCAGGCCAGCAUCGGUUUUGGUGGUUGGAUAAAGGCCCUAGGAAUGUAGCUUCUCUCGGGGAGUGUUAUAGCCUAGGGUGCAAUGCAGCCCACCGGGACCGAGGACCGCGCUUCGGCUAGGAUGCUGGCGUAAUGGUUGUAAGCGACCCGUCUUGAAACACGGACCAAGGAGUCUAACAUCUAUGCGAGUGUUUGGGUGUCAAACCCAUACGCGUAAUGAAAGUGAACGGAGGUGAGAACCCUUAAGGGUGCAUCAUCGACCGAUCCUGAUGUCUUCGGAUGGAUUUGAGUAAGAGCAUAGCUGUUGGGACCCGAAAGAUGGUGAACUAUGCCUGAAUAGGGUGAAGCCAGAGGAAACUCUGGUGGAGGCUCGCAGCGGUUCUGACGUGCAAAUCGAUCGUCAAAUUUGGGCAUAGGGGCGAAAGACUAAUCGAACCAUCUAGUAGCUGGUUCUGCG